GAGAGAAGCCGCCUUGGAUGGACAGAGGGACGGAGCAGCAAGCAUCCGGCUUCCCCGGCUCCCCUGCAGCGGUCUCCAACUGCUGUCUGCCCGCUGCCCGAUGCCCGCCUGCCUGGCAUCUCUCUCCCGGUGACCUUCCUGCUGCCCUUCAGGCAGAACUAUGGGCUCAGCCCCAACCUCUACCUCCCCCAGGUCAGCCAGUCCAUCAGACAUCUGAGGCUGUCUCCAGGCUGGACAGGAGGCUUGAGGUGAAUUGUCUCCAUAACCGCAAGACCCUCUCCAGCUGUGCCCUCCUGUGACUGAAAGUCUGAGAGCAGAGGCAGGAAGUACUUCCUAUAUGGCAAGCCAGGGACUGAAACUUACGAUUUGACUGGACAAUCUAUAAGGUGCUAGCUGCAUUCCUGGCCUGGGAGCAGGGAGCCUGUCUGACCCCUGUGUCACACUG
rnacentral:lncRNA from 1 species